rnacentral:rRNA from 1 species
UACGCAGGGGGCAAGCGUUGUCCGGAAUUAUUGGGCGUAAAGAGCGUGUAGGCGGUCCGGUAAGUCAGCUGUGAAAGUCAAGGGCUCAACCCUUGAAUGCCGGUUGAUACUGUCGGGCUAGAGUCCGGAAGAGGCGAGUGGAAUUCCCGGUGUAGCGGUGAAAUGCGCAGAUAUCGGGAGGAACACCAAUGGCGAAGGCAGCUCGCUGGGACGGUACUGACGCUGAGACGCGAAAGCGUGGGGAGCAAACAGG